UGCCAUCAUUCAAAACACCUUGGAAAUUGUUUUAAAGAAUAUGAAGCAUUAAGUGUCAGUUAAGUGUUCUUGUUAAAUCAGACUACUAGUAUUGCUGUUAUUUUAAUUAGAAGUAGUUUAUUGACAUAAAAAUUACAGCUUGUUUUGUGUCUCUGGCUUUGCUAUGGACCAGGCAGAGGUCCCUGUCCUCACCAGGCUUCUUUGUUUCUCCAGUGUUAGUAGGUCUGCAGCACUAGCCUCUCCUGUCUUCUCAUACAUUUUCCAAUAUUCCUGCACACAGUCAUUAACAUUUUAAUG
rnacentral:lncRNA from 1 species